AGAGUUUGAUCCUGGCUCAGGAUGAACGCUGGCGGCGUGCUUAACACAUGCAAGUCGAACGGGGUGCCUAUGAUAGAGGAUUCGUCCAAUUGAUUAGGCUACCUAGUGGCGGACGGGUGAGUAACGCGUGAGUAACCUGCCUUGGAGUGGGGAAUAACAGUCCGAAAGGACUGCUAAUACCGCAUGAUGCAGCGAGGUCGCAUGGCCUUGCUGCCAAAGAUUUAUCGCUCUGAGAUGGACUCGCGUCUGAUUAGCUGGUUGGCGGGGUAACGGCCCACCAAGGCGACGAUCAGUAGCCGGACUGAGAGGUUGGCCGGCCACAUUGGGACUGAGACACGGCCCAGACUCCUACGGGAGGCAGCAGUGGGGAAUAUUGGGCAAUGGGCGCAAGCCUGACCCAGCAACGCCGCGUGAAGGAAGAAGGCUCUCGGGUUGUAAACUUCUUUUAUCAGGGACGAAAGAAAUGACGGUACCUGAUGAAUAAGCCACGGCUAACUACGUGCCAGCAGCCGCGGU
rnacentral:rRNA from 1 species